AAACAAUGACACACACUAAUAUUUAGAUGUACACAAAGACACAAUAAACGAUUAGAUGUACACACAGACACACUAACAAUGAGAUCUACACACAGACACACUAUCAUUUGGUUCUAAACAAUGACACACACUAAUAUUUAGAUGUACACAAAGACAAUAACAAUUAGAUGUACACACAGACACACUAACAAUUAGAUGUACACACAGACACACUAACAUUUGGUUCUAAACACAGACACACACUAAUAUUUAGAUGUACUCAAAGACAACAAUUAGAUGUACACACAGACACACUAACAAUUAGAUCCACACACAGACACACUAACAAUUAGAUGUACACACAGACACACUAACAUUUGGUUCUAAACAAAGACACACACUAACAUUUAGAUGUACACAAAGACACAUUAAUAUUUAAAUGUACACAAAGACACAAUAACAAUUAGAUGUACACAAAGACACAAUAACCAUUAGAUGUACACACAGACACACUAACAAUGAGAUCUACACACAGACACACUAUCAUUUGGUUCCAAACAAUGACACACACUAAUAUUUAGAUGUACACAAAGACACACUAACAUUUGGUUCUAAACAAAGACACACACUAAUAUUUAGAUGUACACAAAGACAAUAACAAUUAGAUGUACACACAGACACACUAUCAUUUUGUUCUAAACAAAGACACACACUAAUAUUUAGAUGUACACAAAGACAUAUUAAUAUUUAGAUGUACACACAGACACACUAACAAUUAGAUGUACACACAGACACACUAUCAUUUGGUUCUAAACAAAGACACAUUAAUAUUUAGAGGUGCACACAGACACACUAUCAUUUUGAGGUGCACACAGAGACACUAUCAUUUGUUGUUAUACACAGAGACACACUAAUAUUUAGAUGUACACAAAGACAUAUUAAUAUUUAGAUGUACACACAGACACACUAACAAUUAGAGGUACACACAGACACACUAUCAUUUGGUUCUAAACAAAGACACACACUAAUAUUUAGAUGUACACAAAGACACAAUAACAAUUAGAUAUACACACAGACACACUAUCAUUUGGUUCUAAACAAAGACACACACUAACAAUUACAUGUACACACAGACACACUAACAUUUGGUACUAAACAAAGACAAACACUAACAUUUAGAUGUACACAAAGACACACACUAAUACACAAAGACAUAUUAAUAUUUAGAUGUACACACAGACACACUAACAUUUGGUACUAAACAAAGACACACACUAAUAUUUAGAUAUACACAAAGACAUAUUAGUAUUUAGAUGUACACACAGACACACUAACAAUUAGAUGUACACACAGACACACUAACAUUAACAUGUUAAUAACUUUUCUUCUUUUCUCUCUUCUCAGGAACUGCUUUAGAUGUUUUCCCAAUGAUUGUGUUAUUAUUAUUGUUAAAUAUGUCGUCUGUUUAUUAUUUUAACAAUGAAAAUACAUUUUAAUAAAAAUAAAACCAAAUGAA
ensembl:lncRNA